rnacentral:rRNA from 1 species
AUGGCUCAGGAUGAACGCUAGCGACAGGCUAACACAUGCAAGUCGAGGGGCAGCAUAGAAGUAGCAAUACUUGGUGGCGACCGGCGCACGGGUGAGUAACGCGUAUGCAACCUACCUAUCAGAGGGGAAUAACCCGGCGAAAGUCGGACUAAUACCGCAUAAAACAGGGGCACCGCAUGGUGAUAUUUGUUAAAGAAAUUCGCUGAUAGAUGGGCAUGCGUUCCAUUAGGUAGUUGGUGAGGCAACGGCUCACCAAGCCGACGAUGGAUAGGGGAACUGAGAGGUUGGUCCCCCACACUGGUACUGAGACACGGACCAGACUCCUACGGGAGGCAGCAGUGAGGAAUAUUGGUCAAUGGGCGGGAGCCUGAACCAGCCAAGUCGCGUGAAGGAAGAAGGAUCUAUGGUUCGUAAACUUCUUUUGCAGGGGAAUAAAGUGCAGGACGUGUCCUGUUUUGUAUGUACCCUGAGAAUAAGGAUCGGCUAACUCCGUGCCAGCCGCCGC